CUCAGCCAAACCCCAGGCACCAUGCACAUACAGGCAUACAGCGCGCUGGCCCUCUACCCGACACCCAGCCGCCGGCCGCCCCCGUCCCGGCCUCUGCCUGCCUCGCGGCCUCGCGGGACGCCGGUCGCCGGCCGCCCAGGAGUCUCCUCUGCUCCUGGCCUCCUGCCUCCCCAUUGCGCCCUCGCCCUGCCCGGCGCUCGGCGCCAGCCUUGCCACCGCCCCCGGCCGCGACCCUGCCCUGUCCCGGCCGCGUGGCGCCCCUGCAAGCCGGCGGCGCCGCCCAGUCCGCACUACGGCACUCGGCUCGGCCUGAUUUGAGGUCCAGCCAUGCUUAAUUAAACAGAAUUCAUGUUGUAUUAUGGGUCUUAAUUGGAUUGAGGGGCUGUAAUAAGGUUGUGUAUUUAGUUUCAUGCUCACAGCAUCUUCACUCAAAUGGCCAGUAGCUUACGCUACUGUUGGAAAGGCGUAUAAUUUACGCAUGCUUUCAAACAGAGUUGGAAAGGAGUACCAAACUACCCAUCUAUUCCUUCCCUUUUCUGCCAUGAGUUUAGUCAAGAGCAAGUUGAGAAAUAAGAUGGGCGAUAGUCUUUUGGAUGAUUGUCUAGUCACAUACAUUGAGAGGGAUGCUUUCUCCGAGGUGAAUGAAGAUGAUAUAAUUGACACCUUCAUGGCAAUGCAAAAGCGUGAGCCAGAAACAUAGUCUUUUUGAACUUCUCAAGGAAGCAAGUGUGCUCUGAAGUCCGAACUGCUGAAUCUCUUGUCAACUCCAGCAAACUAGCAGAGCCUUCUAUCACCAAAUAAAAGGGUUGUGAUGUCGCUACGUCAGCUACUGGGAUGGUCAGAUGGAGAGGUGAUGCGGCCGGAGUCAAAGCCGUGUUCCCGACUGAUGCGCCACACUGCUGGUAUCUUCUCAGUUGGUGGUGGCCUUGCUUUCUGGGUGCUUUCCCGCCUUCACUAUGGUCCAAGGAUAACGGUUCCAAGGAGUCUCAGGUGGGCAUCCUGUGGAGCGAUGGGCACGAGCGCGACGGCAGCCAUGCUUGUGCGGCUCUUCAGCCCGGAGUGUGAACCACAGAACAUAGCAGCUUUCGACAGACCUGAAUACAAGCCUGCAUAGUGUCAUGGAAAUCCAGGGCCAGGUCUGCCAAGCCCUAUGCGAGUUUGCUGAUUCGGCCCUUGGUGAUGCCUUACAAGAUGUUUAUGCAUAAAUGUACCUCCCCUGAAAUUGGACACCUCUAUGUUUCCUACACUCUGGCCGCCGUCAUUUUCUUCUGAAACUAGGAGCUUUUUGCAUCAAAUCUGGAGCUGGUACCUUUUGCAUCAAAUUUGGUUUCCAAAGUGGGGUAGUGAUGUAUUGCUGGACACAUUUUGAGUGAUGAUAAGUUGCACUCAGUUAACCUAAUGACUUCCGUGAGAUACAUAAACAUACUACGAUUUGACCCGAUGAUGUGCGGUAAUAAUAGGCGCUGGCCUUCAGUGUUUAAGCCUUGGUUACUACUGUACAGUAUCUUAUUUUCCAACUGCUGAAGGCAAGCCCGUUAAUAAGAUCUGUUUGUUCAAAAAGAAAAAAAAGGCAAGCCCGUUUACAACUGUACGUCUAGGACAAGGAUCCGAGUUGAUGCUUAUCUUUUGGCAGUUAUUUUUGGCCUGUUUCUUUACAGUUAAAUCCUGCUAAUUUUUAUCGACAGUUACUUGCUUCUAAUUAAUCCUGGAUAUUUUAAGAACUAGAAGUAGACUCGGUGUUGGUAUCGGACUUUGUACAAGUCUACAUAUAGCAUAUUCCGUCGUCGGAACGUCGUAGUUGUUCAGAAGCUCAUCAAAUCUUUCCUUCGUUUCGCGUCGCAGCAACGAGAGACGCUCUCGACGUCGCAAUGCAGCUGGUGCUGUGUGACUGCUGCCCGCCGUGCGCGCCGGACCCGCGGGCGCGGACGGCGGCCACUACGAGGAGCUGCCCGUGUCGGUGCCGCCGCACGUGCCGCGGGGGCUGAGCAGGGACGAGGCGCCCGGGCCCGGGCUGGACCAAUGGGAGGAGGGAGCGUACGCGGAGGCCGUGGAGCAGCUGGCCGCGCCGCCGCCUGAGAUCACAGAGACGGGCGCCGGAGACGCGUGGCCGUGGCUACGGGCGGCUUUCGCGUCGGUCUACGAGAUGGUGGUGGCGCCCGUGUCGUCCUGCGGCCGCUCGUGACGAAAGUGAAGCCGGUCGUGCCUCGUGCGUGCGCGCGUUGGGUGCAGAGAUCGCGAACUCUCGAUGCGCGGCACGGGCCAGAAGCUGCUGUUUCUCCGUGAGAUAUUUCCAGCGGACACGAUAACGAUACGCCUGGCCCCGCGCUUUGCGUCGGCGUGCAGGCGUCUCGCUUACACCGCACGUGUUGCAAUCGCAUGUUUCAAUCCGUGUCGUCUCGGAGCCGAGAAAGAAGAAUCUAUGCUCCAAGUCGACGAAGCAUGGGCAUCUCGAGCUCUCCGGGUCGAAAGGAUGCUCAUCUUCAUACGACCUCCUGCGACGAUCGUACGGGGAACAACUCCAAAGGGAGAGCGCGCUGGCCGGACUGGACUCCCGAGCACCUUGGUCGAUCCAGGAGGACUUCACAUCGGGAAUCUGAUAGCUAGCAUUAUGCAACACACCUAAUCAGUGGCGGAGCCAGGUAGAAACUGCUAAGGGGCCAAGGCUAAAACAUGAGUGUUUUGACGGUGCAAAAUGCCAGGUAGAUCACUUAACACCCUUAUAUUUCUUUACAGAGGGUGUAUCUCAUCUAAGCUCUCCCUCAAAAAAUUCCUUCACGUUCAAAGUUGAGGCAACUAGUGUGGCAAAUUAGGCUGGCAUGGAGAGAUUUCGGCCACAAGUGAACAGCUGCCAAGGUCGGUGAUCCGCUUUUCAUGAUUUGCCAAUUGUUGUACAUAUAUAGCUACCAGGUUUAAAAAAUCAUUAAAAAUUUACAAACAAACACUAGUAGAAAAAUGGGCUUUCGUUCAGGCCUGGCCAGCCCAU